UCAAACUUGGAGAUAGCUCGUACUCCCCGAAAUGCAUUUAGGUGCAGCCUCGGGCAAAAUACCGCGGAGGUAGAGCGACUGAUAAGAUGCGAGGGCUUCACCGCCUAUCAAGUCUUGACAAACUCCGAAUGCCGCGGCACGAUACCCGGGAGUGAGGGCGUGGGUGCUAAGGUCCACGUCCGAAAGAGGAACAACUCAGACCACCGGCUAAGGCCCCCAAAUACGGGCCGAGUUGAAGCCAAUAACGAGGUGGGAUUGCAUGGACAGCUAGGAUGUUGGCUUGGAAGCAGCCAUUCAUUUAAAGAGUGCGUAACAGCUCACUAGUCGAGUGAUCCCGCAUGGAUAAUAAUCGGGCAUAAGUCCGUUGCCGAAGCCGUGGAAUGCAGCAUAAAGCUGCGUUGGUAGGGGAGCAUUCCGGCAGCCGCAGAAGGUGGGGCGUGAGCCCUGCUGGAGGUACCGGAAAAGCAAAUGUAGGAAUAAGUAACGAUAAAGGGGGCGGGAAACCCCCUCGCCGUAAGACCAAGGGUUCCUGAUCAACGCUAAUCGGAUCAGGGUAAGCCGGGGCCUAAGUGGAAGCCGCAAGGCGCACACGAUGGACAAACGGUAAAGAAUCCGUUGCCCCGCAGUCCCAGUGAUGUGGAGACGGAGCAGUGACACACCCGCGUGCUGACGGAAUAGCACGUUGAACCGCGUAGGUAAACGCUGGGGAGGCAAAUCCCCCCGGCGUGCUGAAACGGGACAGUACGGAGCGCCCCCGGGCAAUCCGACAGCGGUGGUAACCAUACUCCCGAGAAAAUCCGCUAAACGCUAUAAAGGGCUGCGGGCCCGUACCGUAAACCGACACAGGUGGUCGGGUAGAAUAUACCAAGGCGCUCGAGAGAUUCACGGUUAAGGAACUAGGCAAAUUGACCCCGUAACUUCGGGAAAAGGGGUCCCCUCCUCCGGGAGGGGCGCAGAGAAUAGGUCCAGGCAACUGUUUAACAAAAACACAGGGCUGUGCGAAAUUGAAAGAUGAAGAAUACAGCCUGACACCUGCCCGGUGCCGGAAGGUUAAGAGGAGGCGUCAUCGCAAGAGAAGCGCUGAAUUGAAGCCCCGGUAAACGGCGGCCGUAACUAUAACGGUCCUAAGGUAGCGAAAUUCCUUGUCGGGUAAGUUCCGACCUGCACGAAUGGUGUAAUGAUCCGGACACUGUCUCAACCGUGAGCUCGGUGAAAUUGUAGUAUCGGUGAAGAUGCCGAUUACCCGCAACGGGACGAAAAGACCCCGUGAACCUUUACUGCAGCUUUGCAUUGUGACCGGGUGCUCGAUGUGUAGGAUAGUCAGGAGGCAGCGAAACAGCCACGCCAGUGGUUGCGGAGCCGACGUUGAAAUACUGACCUUCGCGCAUCUGGUCUCUAACGCCCUGAGGGCGGACAUUGCAUGGCAGGUAGUUUGACUGGGGUGGUCGCCUCCAAAAGAGUAACGGAGGCUUCUAAAGGUGCCCUCACGGCGAUUGGUAACCGCCGUUAGAGUGUAAUGGCAUAAGGGCGCUUGACUGGGAGACUUACAAGUCGAUCAGGUAGGAAACUAGAGCAUAGUGAUCCGGUGGUUCCGCAUGGAAGGGCCAUCGCUCAAAGGAUAAAAGGUACUCCGGGGAUAACAGGCUGAUCCCUCCCAAGAGCUCAUAUCGACGGAGUGGUUUGGCACCUCGAUGUCGGCUCGUCACAUCCCGGGGCUGGAGAAGGUCCCAAGGGUUAGGCUGUUCGCCUAUUAAAGUGGCACGCGAGCUGGGUUCAGAACGUCGUGAGACAGUUCGGUCUCUAUCUGUUGUGGGCGCGGGAGAUUUGCGAGGACCCGACACUAGUACGAGAGGACCGUGUUGGACGGAGCACCGGUGUACCGGUUGUGGCGCCAGCCGCACCGCCGGGUAGCCGCCUCCGGCAAGGAUAAGUGCUGAAAGCAUCUAAGCACGAAGCCCCCCUCAAGAUAAGAUCUCCACAUAAGGGCCGUCAAAGACGAUGACGUCGAUAGGUCGCAGGUAUACGGGCGGCAACGUCCUCAGCCGAGCGAUACUAAUCACCCAACCCCUUUCCGCAA
rnacentral:rRNA from 1 species